rnacentral:rRNA from 1 species
UACAGAGGGUGCGAGCGUUAAUCGGAAUUACUGGGCGUAAAGCGCGCGUAGACGGUUUUGUAAGUCAGAUGUGAAAUCCCUGGGCUCAACCUGGGAACUGCAUUUGAGACUGCAUGGCUAGAGUAUGGAAGAGGGAAGUGGAAUUUCCGGUGUAGCGGUGAAAUGCGUAGAUAAUCGGAAGGAACACCAGUGGCGAAAGCGACUUCCUGGUCCAAUACUGACGUUCAUGUGCGAAAGCGUGGGGAGCAAACAGG